rnacentral:rRNA from 1 species
ACCGGCGCACGGGUGAGUAACGCGUAUCCAACCUGCCCAUGACUUGGGGAUAACCUUGCGAAAGCAAGCCUAAUACCCGAUACGCGUUCAUAGACGGCAUCUGAAAUGAAGUAAAGGUUUACGGUUAUGGAUGGGGAUGCGUCCGAUUAGCUUGUUGGCGGGGUAACGGCCCACCAAGGCAUCGAUCGGUAGGGGUUCUGAGAGGAAGGUCCCCCACAUUGGAACUGAGACACGGUCCAAACUCCUACGGGAGGCAGCAGUGAGGAAUAUUGGUCAAUGGAGGCAACUCUGAACCAGCCAAGUAGCGUGCAGGAUGACGGCCCUAUGGGUUGUAAACUGCUUUUAUGCGGGGAUAAAUUGACUCACGUGUGGGUCAUUGCAGGUACCGCAUGAAUAAGGACCGGCUAAUUCCGUGCCAGCAGCCGCGGUAAUACGGAAGGUCCGGGCGUUAUCCGGAUUUAUUGGGUUUAAAGGGAGCGUAGGCCGUUGUUUAAGCGUGUUGUGAAAUGUCCCGGCUCAACCGUGGCACUGCAGCGCGAACUGGACGACUUGAGUGCGCGGAACGUAUGCGGAAUUUGUGGUGUAGCGGUGAAAUGCUUAGAUAUCACGAAGAACUCCGAUUGCGAAGGCAGCAUACGGCAGCGCUACUGACGCUGAAGCUCGAAAGCGCGGGUAUCGAACAGGAUUAGAUACCCUGGUAGUCCGCGCGGUAAACGAUGGAUGCCCGCUGUGCGCCAUUUUGGUGUGCGGCCAAGCGAAAGCGUUAAAGCAUCCCACCUGGGGAGUACGCCGGCAACGGUGAAACUCAAAGGAAUUGACGGGGGCCCGCACAAGCGGAGGAACAUGUGGUUUAAUUCGAAU